rnacentral:rRNA from 1 species
AUGCUCCAUUCCAUGGCGCCCCUCCACGCCGCCGCCGCCACUGCGCAGCACGCAGCCGUCGGCGCGGCUCCAAGCAGAGAUGCUGCCCCGAAGAAGAACGGCGGCAGCGUUCCAGCCGGACGCGACACCAGGAGGGCGUUCCUGAGCGGCGUGGUGGUCGCCGCAGCCGGCGCCGGCGUGCUGCUGGGCCACGUGGACGCGGCACCGGCGGCGUCCAAGAGGCGGGCCCCGCCGCCGCCGUCGGAGGAGAAGGAGAAGAAGGACCCGAACCUCAGCGGCGUGCAGGCCAAGGUGUUGGCCAGCAGGAAGCGGAAGGAGGCCAUGAAGGAAGCCGUGGCCAAGCUGCGGGAGAAGGGGAAGAAUCCCGCGGACGCGGCCAGCGCUGUAACCGGAAUAAAGCCCAGAUCGACAGGGGCCGUUGUAGAGUGA